rnacentral:rRNA from 1 species
UCAUGGCUCAGGAUGAACGCUAGCUACAGGCUUAACACAUGCAAGUCGAGGGGCAGCAUGGUCUUAGCUUGCUAAGGCCGAUGGCGACCGGCGCACGGGUGAGUAACACGUAUCCAACCUGCCGUCUACUCUUGGACAGCCUUCUGAAAGGAAGAUUAAUACAAGAUGGCAUCAUGAGUUCACAUGUUCACAUGAUUAAAGGUAUUCCGGUAGACGAUGGGGAUGCGUU